GCUUACGGCCACACCGGCCUGAGUACGCCUGAAUCUCGUCCGAUCUCGGAAGCUAAGCAGGGUCGGGCCUGGUUAGUACUUGGAUGGGAGACCGCCUGGGAAUACCAGGUGCUGUAAGCU
rnacentral:rRNA from 1 species